GUCGGAAAAUCGCUAGUAAUCGUGGAUCAGAAUGCCACGGUGAAUACGUUCCCGGGCCUUGUACACACCGCCCGUCACACCAUGGGAGUGGGCUGCAAAAGAAGUAGGUAGUUUAACCUUCGGGGGGACGCUUACCACUUUGUGGUUCAUGACUGGGGUGAAGUCGUAACAAGGUAGCGCUAGGGGAACCUGGCGCUGGAUCACCUCCUUAAACGAUGAU
rnacentral:rRNA from 1 species